rnacentral:rRNA from 1 species
UGAGGAAUAUUGGUCAAUGGGCGCAAGCCUGAACCAGCCAUCCCGCGUGAAGGAAGACUGCCCUAUGGGUUGUAAACUUCUUUUAUGUACCAAGAAUGUGCACUACGUGUAGUGUAAUGACGGUAGUACAUGAAUAAGCAUCGGCUAACUCCGUGCCAGCAGCCGCGGUAAUACGGAGGAUGCGAGCGUUAUCCGGAUUUAUUGGGUUUAAAGGGUGCGUAGGCGGCUUUUUAAGUCAGUGGUGAAAUCCUGCGGCUUAACCGUAGAACUGCCAUUGAUACUGAAGAGCUUGAGUACAAUUGAGGUAGGCGGAAUGUGUAGUGUAGCGGUGAAAUGCUUAGAUAUUACACAGAACACCAAUUGCGAAGGCAGCUUACUAAACUGUAACUGACGCUGAGGC